AAGUCGUAACAAGGUAUCCGUAGGUGAACCUGCGGAUGGAUCAUUAACACUUAUCCAAGUACCUACUAGUAAAACUUAUUGUGUGAACCCCCGAGUUUCCGCGACCGGAUCAUGGAACCCACAAACGGCAGAGCAACUCCGGUUGCUGUUCCACCGGUAGAAACUCGUUGUUUUCCGUCUCGGAUUCACUUCCGAAUCGGAACUCAACGCAGUCUUGAGAGUGACGUUAAAAACUCUUCCGGAGCCUUAACUGGCUCUGCAGUUUAAAUUGGGCUGCUGUUUUGUACUUGUCAAACCAUUAACGAUUUGUAACCACUUGUCUGAUUUAAGGGUUGGUCCGAAAGGAUUUCAACUUUAACUAUUUCGCGUAAUUAUUAUACAACUGUUAGCAACGGAUAUCUUGGUUCUC
rnacentral:misc_RNA from 1 species